GAGCACAUCGAGUUUGCAAGCACAUUUCCUCCUCGGAUUGAACGUUAAGUGUUUGGAUCUCACACAGAAUGCGUCUGUCUGUUCCAAAAAAAAAAAAAAAAGAAAAAGGCAGAGAAUGAACUGUAUAAAGAAAGACAAGAAAAUCGAUCUAUUUGAGCAGGCAAACUUAUUUAUGUUGCCUAUAGGUGAUGAAGAAAGAAAUCUAACUUUAUGCAAAUGAGGCAAAGCUCUCAACCUGGUGGAUUACUGAGUCAGAGAGCAGGACCCGGGUGAGCAGACCCUCCACAUAAGACCCCAUAAAAAGCCGCAGAUGCGUGGCUGCAUGCAUGCAACACUCACCGGAGGAACUUGUGCCCGGUAAUUAUAUUGACGUUUUGGAACAAAUGUGUGAGGAUGCUGCGAGAGGAUGGACGGGAACGACAGAAGGCCCAGUCAAGAUGGAGCAAAAGCGCAUGGAAUAUGAAGUACCUUCCUGCAUCACUGCUGGUUCAGUACCCUGAGAGAUGUUAAGAGAAGGCUGAAGGGCCGAGGUGCCGAACUGCCACCUGAACCACGAACCAUUCCAGCAAAAAAGGGCCAAAAUCCGAGGAGAACAGCAUGGUUUGGUCUUAAAUCCUCCAACUUAACUCCUCGCUAUUCUUUCCCCCCCUUUCAAGAAUGUGAGUGGAAUUCUAUUCCUGCACCAUGAGUGCUUUUAUGCAGGAAGCCAUCCUGCCAGCCUGCAGCCAUUAUUUAGAUCCAUUCAAACAAAGACAUCACUGAAUCACUUUCAUCUCUGAAUGUAUUGAUCCUGCACAGAUACAAGCACAUAACUCCUCUAAUGACAUGUUUGAGUUUUUUACCUCCCUCUGAAUGUCAUAAAAGCAAUGCUGGGGCGAAACAAUCCCAAGUGAUGCAUGGCUUGCUUGAGAGUCCAGCAACUAAACACAACAUGCAGCGUAAAAUUGGGGUAGAUCUGGGGCCUCGGGUAUUAAAUUGCAUGCCAUCUAUUGUGGCCUGGUUUGAAAAUAAAGUUAUUUUAGUACUUGAAAAAUGAUGGGUUAUAGGAUAUUUACUAAGGUAUUAUAUACUUUUUUUUGCAUUUAACAUGUGAAAUAAAAAAAACGUUUUGUAUUCAAGUGAUACAUUAUAUUUAUCACUUACCAAAAUAAGUGUUACACUUUUCCAAAGAUUUUGAAAAUCAACACAUUUAAAGUUGUUUCCCAUCAUUGUUAUUCAUGGUGUGUUUCUUUCUUAAACCAUGAGAAUAUUUUUGAGUAAUAAAUAUUGUCUUACUAAUCAAGCAUUUUGAAUAAUAUCAUUACACAACUCAACAUAUAGGUUGACAUUUUGACUGGAAAGGGAAUGAAAAUGUGUGCUCUACACAACAAAAUAACAGAUGCCAUUAUGUUUGAAUAUGUGACAUCCAGGAGUUGGUAAUAAUUAGAUGUAUAAAUUCAUAUUGUUUAUAAAUAGAUAGUGUGAAACUGUUUAACUGUUUUUGAGGACGUGUAUUAUUAAAUGUAUGCAUGCUUUUUUCAUUAAACAAACGUAUGUUGUGUUUUUUAUUUCCUUUAUUUUUAUUUACGACAAUUGGAAAA